GCAAGUCGAACGCAGUAGUAAUACUGAGUGGCAAACGGGUGAGUAUAAUGUGGGAAUCUGCCUUUUGGUUUGGAAUAACACGGGGAAACUUGUGCUAAUACCGAAUAAGCCCUUACGGGGAAAGUUUUAACGCCGAAAGAUGAGCCCGCACUUGAUUAGCUAGUUGGUAAGGUAAAAGCUUACCAAGGCAACGAUCAAUAGCUGUUCUUAGAGGGAGACCAGCCACAUUGGGACUGAGACACGGCCCAGACUCCUACGGGAGGCAGCAGUGGGGAAUCUUGCACAAUGGGGGAAACCCUGAUGCAGCGAUGCCGCGUGAGUGAAGAAGGCCUUUGGGUCGUAAAACUCUUUCGUCGGGGAAGAAAAUGACUGUACCCGAAUAAGAAGGUCCGGCUAACUUCGUGCCAGCAGCCGCGGUAAUACGAAGGGACCUAGCGUAGUUCGGAAUUACUGGGCUUAAAGAGCUCGUAGGUGGUUAAAAAAGUUGAUGGUGAAAUCCCAAGGCUCAACCUUGGAACUGCCAUCAAAACUUUUUAGCUAGAGUGUGAUAGAGGUAAGUGGAAUUUCUAGUGUAGAGGUGAAAUUCGUAGAUAUUAGAAAGAACACCAAAUGCGAAGGCAACUUACUGGGUCACUACUGACACUGAGGAGCGAAAGCAUGGGUAGCGAAGAGGAUUAGAUACCCUCGUAGUCCAUGCCGUAAACGAUGUGUGCUAGACGUUGGAAAUAUAUUUUUCAGUGUCGCAGCGAAAGCAUUAAGCACACCGCCUGGGGAGUACGACCGCAAGGUUAAAACUCAAAUGAAUUGACGGGGACCCGCACAAGCAGUGGAGCAUGUGGUUUAAUUCGAAGAUACGCGCAGAACCUUACCAACACUUGACAUGUUCGUCGCGAAACUAAGAGAUUAG
rnacentral:rRNA from 1 species